CACGCUGAAUUCAGCUAUCAUCACCACUCAGAUACGCCAUUGAUGCUCUGCUCUCUCAGUCUUUCUCUCUUAUGGGAGCAUUGUCAGUUCCCGCCAGACACCAUUUUCAACGUUUAGAAGAAAUAAGAGUUACUUUCGUUUUCAUUGUUGAGGCUUAGAUUAAACACAGCAAUGGAUUCUCCAAGACGGAAGGAUUCCCCUUCAGGGAAUUACCGUCACCACAAGGAUAGUGGACGUAGUAGAUCUCCUGGACAUCGCCAUCAAGCACGGCGUUCUCGUUCUUAUGAUGAGGAUAGAGACAGAAGGUCACAUAAUGAUAGACGUGACAGAGGUGACAGGGGAGGUGAUAGAGGAGGAGAUCGUUAUCACAGUCGUUCCAGAUCCCCAAUGUCAGGCAGAAAACGCCACAACAAUAUGCAUGGUGGCAGUCAUCGGGGUGGAGGAGGAGGUGGAGGAGGUGGUGGUGGAGGAGGAGGAGGAGGUGGAGGUGGUCCACCAGACAAUCCUGAACCCACCCGUUGCCUUGGUGUAUUUGGAAUGGGACUAUACACAACUGAGACAGAAUUGCAGCAUGUGUUUGCCAAAUAUGGUCCCCUUGAGAAAGUACAAGUUGUUAAAGAUGCUAAGACCGGACGUUCACGGGGGUUUGCCUUUGUUUAUUUUGAGAGUCUGGAAGAUGCUAAAUUGGCCAAAGAGCAAUGUACAGGCCUAGAAAUUGACGGUCGGCGCAUUCGUGUGGAUUAUUCAAUUACUCAACGACCUCAUACUCCUACUCCAGGCAUUUACAUGGGGAGGCCCACUAUAACUAGUGGGCGUUAUGACAAAUACGACCGUAAUGAAAGAGGAUACCGUCGGUCACCUUCGCCCUACUAUGAGAAAAACUACCGUUCCAGCCGUCGAGGUUACGAGCGUUCACGCUCGCGAUCUUAUUCUCCACCAAGACAAAACUCGCGAGAAGUUUUGGAAGAGAGAAGGUUGAAGUUGAUUUGAGUCAAGAACAGAAAAAGGAUAAAGACAGCUCAGAAAACAGAAAAGGAAAAGGCGCAGCUCAGAAAACAGAAAAAUUUUAAGAACGAUUUGCUGUGGAAAGGGGGGAAGAUUUCUCACUGAAGGAAGUCUUUACUCUGAAGAGAUCACUUUGAAACUUUCGGCUCAACUGGAGAUCUCGACAAGCUUGCUGCAGUUGAAAUUCAAUUUCAAGAUUCAAAAACGAAGAUAUAAGUUUUCCUAGGAUGUCAAGUUAUUGGUUUAACGUUCAUUGACAUCCGUCUGAAUUGGAAAAAAUAAUGAUAAUCCAGUAAGUAGGGCUGUAUAAAGGCACUUAUCUGACUGUAUUGGUCUUUUCAUCUCGUGAUGGUGUAGUAUUUGACUGAAUCCACUCUCACAGGCUGCUGUUGAAGACCAUUUUAUGUAUUAUUUCUGCUCUUCAAAGGCCUGGCAGCUGGUGAUAAGCCCCAAUACUAGACUGAUCCAUGUCCGUGAAUUCUUGUUGGAUCAAAAUUGAGAAAAAAAAUAUAUAGUACACUCGACUGAACCGAGUUCGUCGUACCAUGUGCACCGACCCACGCAAAAAUAAGCCAAUCGGAGGAUCGUCCAUCAACAUCGCCUCAUGACCCUGCUCUUUACAUUGAAGCCAGCUGCAUUUAUCGAACCGUGUCGUGUCAGUCGAAGCGUGAGAAAGGCAAUAUAUUUAAUAUACUGUCAAAGGUAAAUGACAGUCGCCGUGCACGCGUGAAGGAGUUUGUAUCCGGUAUCCAUCAAUUUAUUACGUAAGGCUAACCUCUCCAUCACAGUAUGUCUAACUCUAUUGUCUCUUUUUCCUUUAUAAGUUACUGUUUUGUUUUAAAUUUAAUUUGAGAAUUUUUUGAGAAAAAUUCAGUUUAAAAGAACCAUCACAGAUAAUUGAUAAGUUGUAUUAACAUUAAGACGUACACCAAUUAAUAUUCAAAGUUUAUAGCGUGAAUAAUGAUUGUGGAUUCCACCGGUGGAAACCCGCCACAUGUGUUGAUAUUUACCGUUGUUGAACACGACCGCCACUGACACUAAUAGCUAAAUUAGAUUAACACGUAUAGCAAAUCUGAAAAGAUCGCAAAUUGGAAGCAGAACGGAAACAGCAAGUUCUUGAAGGACGCGCCCAACCGCCUUUAGCUGCCAAUGACGCGAUGUUGCGUUUGUUGGAUGUUACCAGUUCACUGUAAUCAUCUAUAAAAAGAACCAAUAAGAACAGUGAGAAAAAGCCACGGUCAAAAGGCUUCAACCCAAAGUAUAACCCAGCAAGAACUUUCCCUGAUGCGUCUCGCUUCAAUAAUGACUUGAAGUUGUAAACCAGGUUGCGUCGCUCUGUGCAGUCAACUGGAGAUAGAAACGCCUAAAACGAUGGAAAUAUCAAUGAAAUACCUGAUGCGUGUAAAUGAGAGCAGAUUCACAUUCCUCAAUUCCUUUGCGGGUUUCCUUGACAUCCCAGAGUACGUAGCGGCCACUUGGAUGGAAUGUAUAAUUAUAGAGGCGUCGUGAUCGACUAGUGCCACCAGGCUUGAACCAGCCUACAAGUAA
rnacentral:misc_RNA from 1 species